rnacentral:pre_miRNA from 1 species
AGGUAGGGCAGUCUGUUUUUAACUAGGAAUAAAUUAAAGAAAAAAAAUCCUAUAUAGUUUUCUCUUUAAGUCUAGCAUCUUGC